CAGCAGCCGCGGGAAUACGGAGGGGGCUAGCGUUGUUCGGAAUUACUGGGCGUAAAGCGCACGUAGGCGGCUUUGUAAGUCAGAGGUGAAAGCCUGGAGCUCAACUCCAGAACUGCCUUUGAGACUGCAUCGCUUGAAUCCAGGAGAGGUCAGUGGAAUUCCGAGUGUAGAGGUGAAAUUCGUAGAUAUUCGGAAGAGCACCAGUGGCGAAGGCGGCUGACUGAACUGGUAUUGACGCUGAGGUGUGAAAGCGUGGGGAGCAAACAGGAUUAGAUACCCCUGUAGUCCCUGUCUCUUAUAC
rnacentral:rRNA from 1 species